GGGUGGUGAGUGGAUGGUUUAGGGUUUUUAUGCUGUCUAUAAGGCUUCACUCAUCAGUCAGGAUAUCAAACAGCAGUCCCAGGAUGCAGCCCAGGCCUGCCUCCCUCCUGCAGUGUGCGCAGCCGAGCCAUGGCCCUUCUAUGGCAGCUGCAUCUUGGAAGAUGGACCCCUCUGGCCUGGCUCCCCAGGAGGGUCUCCACAGGGGAGAAGACUGCAGCAUGUUUGCUCAACUGUUCCAUUCCCUGUUGUUUAUUAGUAAAAGUGAGCUCUGAAGCUGUGUCCUUUCUGCUCUUGCUGAAGAUUGUUGGUGUUUCUCAGACAUUAUAACUGGUUAGCGAUGAGAAACAGUGCAUGUCCUCCAAAUAUAGAGAAAGAUUGCAAACUAAAAAAACCCACCAGCCAUCAACUCCAGAAUGCAAGAAAGUACUUGACAACGUACAUUUUAUCAACAGAAUGAAAUUAGAUACCUGUCAAAAUGCAUUUGUCCUCAAAAUAACUAUUCAUAUAUUUCAUUUUCCUGCAUAAAUAGAUAUUCAGCUGCUCUCUUCUGUCUGUCAUUUGCUACUCACAAUCCAGCACUGAC